UCAGUUGAUGGUAGUUUUUUGAGUUGUCUAAGCUGUCUGGGCAGAUGUGUGUUGGCAUUUAGAGAAGUGGAGGUGUCUGUUUGAGGUGCCUUGUGUUUUUCUGGAAUUCCUGACUCUAUUGAAGAUGGAACCUUGUUUUCUUCCCUGGUUUUGCUGUAUACUGUGUGAGCUGCUGAUAUUCUCUCUCUUAACAGGACUGAUGGUGAGAUCAUCUAGCAGGGCUUAGGUCUUCCCCACAGCUGACGGGAGGUACAACAGAGUCACAAGAGACGCGGCGUAAACAGUCUGGGCCUCCGCAUCUCAGUAUGCGGGGCUCAAUGUCAGAUGAGUCUCAUCUCGUAAGGCAUUAGGCAUUGUUACUUAGAAGCAUUGACUAGGCACUUAUUUCCAGCGUGGGUUUGUGUCGCCAUCUUCCCUGGAAUUUCUUGGAGACGAGGGUGUGUAUUAUUUGUGCUUGUAACAAUCUGCAGCCAGGGGUCGUCUUUUAUCACAGUCCCGGGCACGCAAGCUUUUUCUGUUAUUCCAGUUUUGCCUUUUUCCUUAAGUGUCCAAUGAGGUUUUGCUCUAGUAUCAGUCAUGGCAGUUAUGUUCUCUUGUGCUUAGCACCGGUUUCUG